GACGAACGCUGGCGGCGUGCUUAACACAUGCAAGUCGAACGGAAAGGCCUGCUUUCCCUUGUGGAUUGCGGGUACUCGAGUGGCGGACGGGUGAGUAACACGUGAGUGAUCUGCCCCCAACUUGGGUAUAAGCCUGGGAAACUGGGUCUAAUUCCCGAUAGGACUGCAGGGUGGUGCCUGUGGUGGAAAACGAUUUUCUAGUGGUUGGGGAUGAGCUCGCGGCCUAUCAGCUUGUUGGUGGGGUAAUGGCCUACCAAGGCGGCGACGGGUAGCCGGCCUGAGAGGGUGGACGGCCACAUUGGGACUGAGAUACGGCCCAGACUCCUACGGGAGGCAGCAGUGGGGAAUAUUGCACAAUGGGCGGAAGCCUGAUGCAGCGACGCCGCGUGGGGGAUGACGGCCUUCGGGUGGUAAACUCCUUUCGACCGCGAGGAAGCCACCUGGUUGGAAGGGUGGUGACGGUAGUGGUAGAAGAAGCACCGGCUAACUACGUG
rnacentral:rRNA from 1 species